rnacentral:misc_RNA from 1 species
GCUUUCACGAGAAUCCAAUAUUAUUCAGAUGCAUUUUAUUUUGUAACAUGCAAUAUAUUAAUCUUAAAAUAAAAUGUGUAGCUAUUCAUAUUUACGUUCAAUAUCUUAUUUAAUAUAUCGAUCAAGUAUAGUUUCUCUAUGCAUAUCUGCGCACUUAAUGAGAAUAAUCAGCGUUCGCUGUUACUGAAUAUUAAAUAAUUUUUUAUAAUCGCUGUAGCUAGAUUAUAAUAGAUUUUUAUGUAUUUAUGAUAAGUUUGACGAUGCAAAAAUACACAGGAUGCACAUAAUCUGCAAAAGUACUAAAAUGUUCGAAAUAUAGCAUUUAUUAUAUUAC